GCGGAUGUGGUGGAAUUGGUAGACACGCACGUUUGAGGGGCGUGUGACUUCGGUCUUGCGAGUUCAAGUCUCGCCAUCCGCA
rfam:Synechococcus sp. Tous Synechococcus-sp-Tous-C7, whole genome shotgun sequence.